rnacentral:rRNA from 1 species
UGCAAGUCGAACGAUGAUGCCCAGCUUGCUGGGUGGAUUAGUGGCGAACGGGUGAGUAACACGUGAGUAACCUGCCCCUGACUCUGGGAUAAGCGUUGGAAACGACGUCUAAUACUGGAUAUGAUCACUGGCCGCAUGGUCUGGUGGUGGAAAGAUUUUUUGGUUGGGGAUGGACUCGCGGCCUAUCAGCUUGUUGGUGAGGUAAUGGCUCACCAAGGCGACGACGGGUAGCCGGCCUGAGAGGGUGACCGGCCACACUGGGACUGAGACACGGCCCAGACUCCUACGGGAGGCAGCAGUGGGGAAUAUUGCACAAUGGGCGAAAGCCUGAUGCAGCAACGCCGCGUGAGGGAUGACGGCCUUCGGGUUGUAAACCUCUUUUAGUAGGGAAGAAGCGAAAGUGACGGUACCUGCAGAAAAAAGCACCGGGCUAACUACGUGCCAGCAGCCGCGGUAAUACGUAGGGUGCAAGCGUUGUCCGGAAUUAUUGGGCGUAAAGAGCUCGUAGGCGGUUUGUCGCGUCUGCUGUGAAAUCCCGAGGCUCAACCUCGGGCUUGCAGUGGGUACGGGCAGACUAGAGUGCGGUAGGGGAGAUUGGAAUUCCUGGUGUAGCGGUGGAAUGCGCAGAUAUCAGGAGGAACACCGAUGGCGAAGGCAGAUCUCUGGGCCGUAACUGACGCUGAGGAGCGAAAGCAUGGGGAGCGAACAGGAUUAGAUACCCUGGUAGUCCAUGCCGUAAACGUUGGGCGCUAGAUGUAGGGACCUUUCCACGGUUUCUGUGUCGUAGCUAACGCAUUAAGCGCCCCGCCUGGGGGAGUACGGCCGCAAGGCUAAAACUCAAAGGAAUUGACGGGGGCCCGCACAAGCGGCGGAGCAUGCGGAUUAAUUCGAUGCAACGCGAAGAACCUUACCAAGGCUUGACAUACACCGGAAACGGCCAGAGAUGGUCGCCCCCUUGUGGUCGGUGUACAGGGUGGUGCAUGGUUGUCGUCAGCUCGUGUCGUGAGAUGUUGGGUUAAGUCCCGCAACGAGCGCAACCCUCGUUCUAUGUUGCCAGCGGGUUAUGCCGGGGACUCAUAGGAGACUGCCGGGGUCAACUCGGAGGAAGGUGGGGGAUGACGUCAAAUCAUCAUGCCCCUUAUGUCUUGGGCUCCACGCAUGCCUACAUUGGCCGUUACAAAGGGCGUGCGAUACCGUAAGGUGGAGCGGAAUCCCAAAAAGCCGGUCUCAGUUCGGAUUGAGGUCUGCAACCUCGACCUCAUGAAGUCGGAGUCGCUAGUAAUCGCAGAUCAGCAACGCUGCGGUGAAUACGUUCCCGGGCCUUGUACACACCGCCCGUCAAGUCAUGAAAGUCGGUAACACCCGAAGCCGGUGGCCUAACCCUUGUGGAAGGAGCCGUCGAAGGUGAAUCCGG